rnacentral:piRNA from 1 species
UCCAGUGCUAAGAGUUGGUGGGGAUGUU